CUUGGUCAUUUAGAGGAAGUAAAAGUCGUAACAAGGUCUCCGUUGGUGAACCAGCGGAGGGAUCAUUACCGAGUUAUUCAACUCAUCAACCCUGUGAACAUACCUAAACGUUGCUUCGGCGGGAAUAGACGGCCCCGUGAAACGGGCCGCCCCCGCCAGAGGACCCUUAACUCUGUUUCUAUAAUGUUUCUUCUGAGUAAAACAAGCAAAUAAAUUAAAACUUUCAACAACGGAUCUCUUGGCUCUGGCAUCGAUGAAGAACGCAGCGAAAUGCGAUAAGUAAUGUGAAUUGCRGAAUUCAGUGAAUCAUCGAAUCUUUGAACGCACAUUGCGCCCGCCAGUAUUCUGGCGGGCAUGCCUGUUCGAGCGUCAUUACAACCCUCAGGCCCCCGGGCCUGGCGUUGGGGAUCGGCGGAGCCUCUCUGUGGGCACACGCCGUCCCCCAAAUACAGUGGCGGUCCCGCCGCAGCUUCCAUCGCGUAGUAGCUAACACCUCGCGACUGGAGAGCGGCGCGGCCACGCCGUAAAACACCCAACUCUUCUGAAGUUGACCUCGAAUCAGGUAGGAAUACCCGCUGAACUUAAGCAUAUCAAUAAGCGGAGG
rnacentral:rRNA from 2 species